UACGAAGGGGGCAAGCGUUGUUCGGAAUUACUGGGCGUAAAGGGCGCGCAGGCGGCCGACGUAUUCAGGCGUGAAAGCCCCGGGCUUAACCUGGGAAUUGCGUUUGAUACUCGUUGGCUGGAGUUCGGGAGAGGAUGCUCGAAUUCCCAGUGUAGAGGUGAAAUUCGUAGAUAUUGGGAAGAACACCGGUGGCGAAGGCGGCCAUCUGGACCGAAACUGACGCUGAGGCGCGAAAGCGUGGGGAGCAAACAGG
rnacentral:misc_RNA from 1 species